rnacentral:tRNA from 10 species
GCUCCAGUGGCGCAAUCGGUUAGCGCGCGGUACUUAUACAACAGUAUAUGUGCGGGUGAUGCCGAGGUUGUGAGUUCGAGCCUCACCUGGAGCAUGUUUUCUUCCAAUUGCGAUUUCAGACAUUUCACGAUAAUGCAUUUUUCCCUUAUCUUUAAAGUAAAAAGCUAAAAUGGAUAAAUUUUCCAUGGUGAGCCCAUAAAAAUUCCUUUGAUCAAGGAGGGAUAUUUGGCAGAUUUCAGAGAAGGGAAGAAAUCCAGCAAGACCCAAAUUGAACUCAUCCAGCA